rnacentral:rRNA from 1 species
CGGACGGGUGAGUAACACGUGGAUACCUGCCCCCAGGUGAGGAAUACCGGCGAGAAAUCGCCGACAAGACCGCAUAGGCUCCCAGCAGUGGGAGCAAAGUCGCAAGACGCCUGGGGAGGGGUCCGCGCCCGAUUAGCUAGUUGGUGGGGUAAGAGCCUACCAAGGCGACGAUGGGUAGCUGGUCUGAGAGGACGAUCAGCCACACUGGGACUGAGACACGGCCCAG